CUGGUUUGUGCUUGCGUCCGCCAGUCUGUCCCGCUUCAGGUUAAAAUUUUUGGUCGAGGUAGCUUUUGAUGAAGUUGAAGUCCAAUCAACUUGAAACUUAGUAUACUUGUUCCCUAUGAUAUGAUUUUUCUAAUUUUAACCCAAUUUCACGGUCCAUUGAACAUGGAAAAUGAUUAUGCGAGUGGGGCAUCCGUGUACUUAGGAC
rnacentral:lncRNA from 1 species